UACGAACUGUGCAAACGUUAUUCGGAUUCACUGGGCUUACAGGGUGCGUAGGCGGCCUGUUAAGUAGGGUGUGAAAGCCCCCGGCUCAACCGGGGAAUGGCGCCCUAAACUGGCGGGCUGGAGUGAGAUAAGGGUGUGUGGAACUUCCGGUGGAGCGGUGAAAUGUGUUGAUAUCGGAAGGAACGCCGGUGGCGAAAGCGACACACUGGGUCUCAACUGACGCUGAGGCACGAAAGCCAGGGGAGCGAAC
rnacentral:rRNA from 1 species